GUCUGGGGUACCGGCGGGGGACACUGCCAACAGCCAGUGAAAUAGCAGGGCGCCAAAUUCAAAACAACAAAAAUCUCAUAAUUCAAAUUUCUCAAACAUACAACUAUUUUACACCAUUUUAAAGAUGAACUUCUCGUUAAUCCAACCACAUUGUCCGAUUUCAAAAAGGCUUUACGGCGAAAGCAUUAGAUUAUGUUAGGACGGCACCUAGAUAAGAAAAACCACACAGCCAUUUUCUAAGCAAGGAGAGGCGUCACAAAAACCAGAAAUACAGCUAAAAUUAAUCACUAACCUUUGAUGAUCUUCAUCAGAUGGCACUCAUAGGACUUCAUGUUACACAAUGCAUGUAUGUUUUGCUCGAUAAAGUUCAUAUUUAUAUCCAAAAACCCCAUUUUACAUUGGCGUGCUUCUCUCAGAAAUAUGUUCUCCUUAUUAAAUUCAUUAACGUCCGUUUCUAUCUUAUUGACUGUCCCUUUUAGCUUGUUUGUUAUGUUCUCCAUUAUCGCAGCUCUUUUAUCACUAAUUUCAAGGCUGGCCUUCAACUCCUUUAUAUCCUUACUGACUUUUUUUUAUUCAUUUCUAAAAAAUAUUUCACCUUUAUUUAACCAGGUAGGCAUGUUGAGAACAAGUUCUCAUUUACAAUUGUGACCUGGCCAAGAUAAAGCAAAGCAGUUUGACACAUACAACAACACAGAGUUACACAUGGAGUAAAACAAACAUACAGUCAAUAAUAUAGUAGAAAAAUAAGUCUAUAUACAAAGUGAGCAAAUGAGGUGAGAUAAGGGAGGUAAAGGCAAAAAAGGCCAUGGUGGCGAGGUAAAUACAAUAUAGCAAGUAAAACACUGGAAUGGUAGAUUUGCAGUGGAAGAAAGUGCAAAGUAGAAAUAGAAAUAAUGCGGUGCAAAGGAGCAAAAUAAAUAAAUACAGUAGAGGAAGUGGUUGCUGUUGGGCUAAAUUAUAGAUGGGCUAUGUUCAGGUGCAUUAAUCUGUGAGCUGCUCUGAGAGCUGGUGCUUAAAGCUAGUAAGGGAGAUAAGUGUUUCCAGUUUUAGAGAUUUUU
rnacentral:lncRNA from 1 species